rnacentral:misc_RNA from 1 species
AAGUCGUAACAAGGUUUCCGUAGGUGAACCUGCGGAAGGAUCAUUUUUGAAGGCUUACACGCCGACAUUGUGAAACGCGAGACCUGCACCAAAGGCUUCGGCUGAGGCGCGGUCUGGCACUACUUGGGCGGAGCUUGCUCUGCCCAACUUUAAAACUUUUACCAAUUUAUCUGAAAACUUGAAAAAUUUAAAACUUUCAACAACGGAUCUCUUGGUUCUCACAUCGAUG